UGAGGGUUAGUGCAGAAGAACACCCGUCCGGUGGGGCUUGGAGCCCGACCCGAGGUCCUAGGUUUUGUGUACGGAGGGGGCACCUCGAACAAAUAGAUACUGUCUGUACAACAGGAGAUGAAACUGACGAGUUUGUUCGAUGCGAAAUAAAUUUCGACAUGCAAAUCUUUUGAAGUAGGUCUUUUACAAGAAACUGAAG